rnacentral:rRNA from 1 species
UACGUAGGGGGCAAGCGUUGUCCGGAAUCAUUGGGCGUAAAGAGCGCGUAGGCGGUCCGGUAAGUCCGCUGUGAAAGUCAAGGGCUCAACCCUUGAAUGCCGGUGGAUACUGUCGGGCUAGAGUCCGGAAGAGGCGAGUGGAAUUCCACGUGUAGCGGUGAAAUGCGUAGAGAUGUGGAGGAACACCAGUGGCGAAGGCGGCUUUUUGGUCUGUAACUGACGCUGAGGCGCGAAAGCGUGGGGAGCAACAGG